GCACCUAAGUCGUGGUAUUGAAGGUGGAGAGAGAACUGUAUAUAUCAGUGGUAUUGAUUGCUCUGGGAAUCUGUGAUUUAUCCUUAAAAUCAAUUCGUUAUUUUAUGCUUUAUUUUUGUGAUUUUAUUUUCACCGUCUGAAUGGGACUUUUAUUUUGGUGUACUGACGUGACGUCAUAAGGUUGCGCCGCGCUACGCACUUGCUUUCAAGGUUCUGCUGACGAAAGAUAAACUGAAGCGACUGAGAUCUUCGAGACAUUGCUAUAAAGAUGGAGUUUAUUAAAGAGGAGAGUGAAGACCUGAAGAUUGGAGAAGCUUUCAGAGUCAAACAUGAAGAUCAUGAGGAACAAACCGAGAUGAUGUCUUUUAUAGAGGAGAGUGAAGACCUGAAGAUUGAAGAGGCUUUCACAGUCAAACAUGAUCCUGAAGAACAACAAGCAGAGAUGACGAUUAUUAUAGAGCAGAGUGAAGAUGAAGUCAAACAUGAAGAUGAGGAACUAACAGGUCUGUUUCAUUCACAAAGUCUUUCUUAUACAGUGUAGUAGUACAGUGUAGAGCCCUGCACAGGCCUCAAAUCUAGGCCCUAGCCCGACCCGUGUCCGACAGCUCAUCAGAAUUUCCGGCCCGAGACCGUGUUUUUAUUUAUUUAUUUUAUUACACAGCGGAAGCCUGCCCUAUUUGCAGCAAUUAAAAAAGGUGGCAGUUUUGUGUUAUGUUUCUUUUCAUUUCUUUAUCAAGUUAAUUUAGAAAAAUGUUUGGAGCAUUU